rnacentral:lncRNA from 1 species
AACUGACUACGAUUAACUAGAAGUAACUACAAUUAACUACAAAGUUCAUAUAACUACAAAAAUUUGACUACAUUUUAAAAACACACUGGAAACACUGCAUAUAACCUUAACUACAUUUACAUACAUUUGACUAUAUUUUAAAAACUCACUGGAAACACUUAAUAUAACCUUAACUACAUUUACCUACAUUUCGAAAACACACUGGAAACAGUGCAUAUAACCUUAACUACAUUUACCUACAUUUGACUACAUUUUAAAAACUAACUGGAAACACUUCAUAUAACCUUAACAACAUUUACCUACAUUUGACUACAUUUUAAAAACACACUGG